AGGACGACGCUGGCGGCGUGCUUAACACAUGCAAGUGGAGCGACGAACCGGGGCUUGCCCCGGGGCAGAGCCGCGAACGGGUGAGUAACACGUGGGUAACCUGCCUCAAUGAUUGGGACAACCCGGGGAAACUCGGGCUAAUACCAUAUGUGUUCACUCCUUCUAAGGGGAGUGAGGAAAGGAAGCUUCGGCCUCCGCAUUGAGAUGGGCCCGCGGCCCAUUAGCUUGUUGGUGAGGUAACGGCUCACCAAGGCUUCGAUGGGUAGCUGGUCUGAGAGGACGAUCAGCCACACUGGGACUGAGACACGGCCCAGACUCCUACGGGAGGCAGCAGUGGGGAAUCUUGCACAAUGCGCGAAAGCGUGAUGCAGCAACGCCGCGUGGGGGAAGACGGCCUUCGGGUUGUAAACCCCUUUCAGUUGGGACGAAGCUUCGUCGGUGAAUAGCCGGUUGGAGUGACGGUACCUUCAGAAGAAGCCCCGGCUAACUACGUG
rnacentral:rRNA from 1 species